UACGUAGGGUGCAAGCGUUAAUCGGAAUUACUGGGCGUAAAGCGUGCGCAGGCGGUUCUAUAAGACAGAUGUGAAAUCCCCGGGCUCAACCUGGGAACUGCAUUUGUGACUGUAGAGCUGGAGUGCGGCAGAGGGGGAUGGAAUUCCGCGUGUAGCAGUGAAAUGCGUAGAUAUGCGGAGGAACACCGAUGGCGAAGGCAAUCCCCUGGGCCUGCACUGACGCUCAUGCACGAAAGCGUGGGGAGCAACAGG
rnacentral:rRNA from 1 species